CAUCAUAAAAUAUGUUCAACAUCCCAUACACAAUAUUUCAAGUUACUCUGAUUAUUAGCUAGAUGCAAUUCCCCAAGCUUUUAACAAAUAAACAAUAUCAAAGUAAGCAAGCAAACACAAACUCUAUCUUCAAUUUUUACUAUACUUUACGUUUUAGGUACAGCCGAGAACGGGAAAUACGAAGAGGGGAUUUGACGAGGUAGGUUUUAUCUUCGAGUGUCGCCUUCCGAAGGCGACUCCACGUAAUCGUACCUCACAAGACGAGAGAAGUAAAAUUGUUAGUAAAAUAAUAUGUAAGAAUCAAGCUAAUAGAGUGACAUGUUUUUGAAAUGGUUUUUGUUUUAAAAUAUUUUUGGAAAAUUGCUCUUGAAUGUGAUUUGAAAAUGUUUUUGUUUUUGAAAGAUUGUUUUAAAAAAUAUUUUUUGAAAAAUUAUUUUUGGAAAAUAGUUUAAAAAUAAUAUAAGAGACUCAAAUAUGCAUUUUUCGAUAUCCGUCUAGACAUGAGAACGGAAACCGCAUCGGGAGCGACUCCGGUGGCCAACCGUGUCGCCCUCCAUAAGUUUUAUUGGUUGGUCGUGUCCUUGUCUUUUAUUUUUUGAUGUUUAUUACCAUCGCCUCAUAAAUAUAUUUUUGUUUUGGAUCUGAGGGACGGUGUAGUAUCUUGUCCUUUACCAGUCAAAAAUCAUCACAAGGCCUCAAAAACUUUUAUUCUCAUCGGCUUGGUCUAAAAUCAAAUAAUUUUGCCAACAUAUUUCUGUCUAAACAAAAACAGUAACACUGUCAAUGCAUUAUCGUAGAGAUUUCAAGACAAGAGGAAAUAGAGUCGCCGAAGUUAAGCCUUUAUGGCCAACUCCAAAGAAAACCCCUCAGAUCUGAAGGUGUUUUGGCCCAGGUCUAUUAAGAUGAUAAGAUCCAGCCACAACUCGCUCGUCUCCGUCAUCAUGGUGACUGCCGAGCCUACCGGUGGUCAAACCCGGCGGCAGCAGUGCGAGCAACGACUGAGGGGGAAGACAUCAACGAGAGGGGGGAUGAAGGAGAGGGGAGCAGUGGUGGCCAGCUAGCCGUCUCCGGCGUCAAUGUAGCAGCAGGCGAGAGAUGAGCUUUUUGGGGAGGGGCAGCAGAUGGCUCUCAUAAUGAGAGAAGAGAGCAUGAAAAUAUAUUAGGGUUUUGUGCCCAAAAAAAUAUGAUGUUUC
rnacentral:lncRNA from 1 species